rfam:Daedalea quercina L-15889 unplaced genomic scaffold DAEQTscaffold_14, whole genome shotgun sequence.
GCCCCCGUUGUCUAAUGGUUAUGACGUCAGACUUCUAAGCUUGUGGUUCUCACGGCGAGUCCUUGGUGUUGCUUGAUCUGGAGGUUGCGAGUUCGAGUCUCGCCGGGGGCU